rnacentral:rRNA from 1 species
UAGAGUUUGAUCAUGGCUCAGAUUGAACGCUGGCGGCAGGCCUAACACAUGCAAGUCGAGCGGUAACAGAAAGAAAGCUUGCUUUCUUUGCUGACGAGCGGCGGACGGGUGAGUAAUGCCUGGGAAUAUACCCUGAUGUGGGGGAUAACUAUUGGAAACGAUAGCUAAUACCGCAUAAUCUCUUCGGAGCAAAGAGGGGGACCUUCGGGCCUCUCGCGUCAGGAUUAGCCCAGGUGGGAUUAGCUAGUUGGUGGGGUAAUGGCUCACCAAGGCGACGAUCCCUAGCUGGUCUGAGAGGAUGAUCAGCCACACUGGAACUGAGACACGGUCCAGACUCCUACGGGAGGCAGCAGUGGGGAAUAUUGCACAAUGGGGGAAACCCUGAUGCAGCCAUGCCGCGUGUAUGAAGAAGGCCUUCGGGUUGUAAAGUACUUUCAGUUGUGAGGAAGGCAGUUAAGUCAAUAGCUUGGCUGUUUGACGUUAGCAACAGAAGAAGCACCGGCUAACUCCGUGCCAGCAGCCGCGGUAAUACGGAGGGUGCGAGCGUUAAUCGGAAUUACUGGGCGUAAAGCGCAUGCAGGCGGUCUGUUAAGCAAGAUGUGAAAGCCCGGGGCUCAACCUCGGAACAGCAUUUUGAACUGGCAGACUAGAGUCCUGUAGAGGGGGGUAGAAUUUCA